CCAUAUUUUUCUUGAGUUAAUAUAAUGUACCCUUUUUUGUAUAAAAUCCACAGAUUCAUGUAAGCACUGUUAUAACCAGGAUACAUGAGUUUCAUUUUCACCAGGCCUGCCUUAGUAGCAUGGUUUCUUGCUGGUUACCCUCCCCUACCUUUCCUAAGCCCCAAAUGUGCUCUGUUCUCUCUUGCUUUCACUUUCCUUUCCUGGAAGAGGAUGUAGGUGCCGUGGAGGCUGAGGCAUUUUAAGACUGACCUCCUUCAGUCAGUACACUGCUUUUGAGUCCCACCCUUGUUAUUACUGUGUCAGUAGUAUGCUCUCCUUUAUUCCUGAGCAGUAUUGGUUGGGUGAAUGUCUUCACCUUCUUAGUCUCUUCUAUUGGUGGACUUUGAGGACUGGAAAGUGCAAAGGAAGCUGCCCUGUUCACUGACAUGUAUUAUGAUUUUAUUUCUCUGCCUUUCUGGUUGUCAGCUUUUCGUCACCAUUACCAAACACUUGAGAGAAAGAACUUUAAAGGAGGGAAAGUUUCGGGGUCUCCAUUAAUGCAAUGAGCACCCUCAUGAUCCCUUGGCACCUCAAGAGAGAUACGAGCUUUUAAUACACCAACUUUUGGAGGGAGACAUUUCAUAUCUCCAACGUAAAAAGGUUAAAUACAACUGCGGACACAUUGGUAAAGUGCAUGUCUAGCUUACUAAUAAACUAACCCCUGGUUCCAGGAUGAACUUUAUAUUUAGAUUUUUCUGAGCAAUGCAAGCACUUGGCAUUCCCAGGUGUUGAAAGGUCAGAGUGAGUGAUAAAGGCAUGUCAGAAAAACCAAUCUCCCAUUUUAAAAUGGAAACAAUGCAAGCGUCGGGUAGGAAAUAAGAAAAUAUUUUACAUUGAUAUGUAUUAAGGAAGGAGCUGACUGUGUUAUCUGAUGAAGACAAGAAGAAAUAGAGGGGGCUGAACCAUAUGGGAAACCUGAGAGACCGUGGAAGUACUACUAGGAAAGCCCAGGAAGUGAGUAGCUGAAUUUUGUAUGUCAAAGCUAUAAAGUAGCGUGCGGCAUUUCACAUAAAGAACAUAGGAAAAGUACUCCUACCUUAAAUGAAACCCAACUCUGAAGAUUUUUCUCUAUAAGGAACAAAUUAGAACUCAUUUAGGGCAGUUACAAGGUUUUAAAGAAAAGAACUAAGAGAAUGAGAAGGGGGUUGAGGGUGUCCAUGACUUCAGUAGGGAGAAAGAUCAUGGGUAGCCUAAGAUAGCCAGUUUGACCAAAUUAUGGUCCAGGCAUCAUGGAUCUCAGCACUUCACCUGAGGGCCAACAUACAUUUAAAAAAAAAAGAGUCAUACUGAGACUCUGAGAUGGCAGGGACAUUGGAGAAAGGUAUAGGAAGUAAGGUGGUCUUAAAGUCAGAAAUGCAAACACAUGUACUUAAUAAGUGGACUAUGGUUGUCAUGUUAGAAUGCAUUCAGUGAUGAUGUAUACUAUGUGCAAUGUGACUAUUGUCUCAAUUGGCAGUGUGUAUCCACUGCAAAGCACUAACGAAGCCUGUGCAAGUGAAAUGUCGCCAUCAAAGCCUGUACAUACAGUGCAAGUGCACACAUGCACAGGCACAUGCACACAUACACACACACACACACACACACACACACACACACACCACCAUACCACCACCAUACCACACCAGUGCUGGGCAUUUUCUCAGAAGAGUUACAGCCCUAAUUUUCACUUGAAAAACCUGUCUUUGAUUUGCUAGAGAAAGUACUGAAUGUAGCACAUCUUCUGAAGUAUGAAAAUAAAAAGAUCCAUCUCCAGAUGUUCUUGUUAAUUGUAGAACCUCCUUAGAGGAUGAAGGUGAAGGUACCAAAUGGCAGCCAUCAUGGAAGAGAUCUGGUAUUUUCAAAUUGAUACCACAAUAAGAUGAACCCCUUAAGGGAGUUGGGGGAUUGGGGAGAUGGGGAAAUGGCUGUGUGACUUUCUGAAAAUGGCGGGCACCAGGCACAAAGGCAAAUUCAGUCAUGGAAGUGAUAUAUUUAGCAAGAAGACUGACAUGUUAUAGAAACACUGAAGCUCAUUCAAUGACUUGGAGCAGUUUCAGGAGGGCGAUAGAGAAGUGGAAUUCAGACAGCACUGGAGGAAACACGUAAUGAAGAGGAAGCACACAGAUACCUGUCGUUGGUAGUUUGGGGUAAGUGGAAGUUAAAAAUAGUGCAGUGGCAAUAGGAGCUUCUGGCCAAGUGAACUGCUUUCAAAACUUGGUCUGAGGAUCACACUGUCUUCCUCUGUCUCUAUCUCAUCCAAGGGUGUGAUCAUAAUAAAGGAUAAAUUGGCAGUGCAAAAGAGUGGUGGGUGCCAAGACAAGAGCCCGAGGACUUCCCUGAAAAGGAACUAUAUAUAGGACCUUGCAAACCAGUUGUUUUUGUUUCUGCCUCUGUCCAACCCAGAAUAACAGCCAGAGCAUUUAUGUGGCAAACAUCCCAUAAUUCAGCAGGAGGCAGAGCAGGGCGUCUCCAGGAGUGGAUCUUCCUACUGCUAUGCUACUUGGCUGGAACCCAUGACAAUCCAUUCAAGCAGUCAAGUCACUGACGGGCAGAAAAGCUAGAGUUCAAAGUAUGUUUGUAUGUGUGGUAUGUAACAUCAGAACAUUUCCCGGGGGGUGGAGGGGUUGGGGAAGGUACUUUGCAGUUCUCCCAAAUCUUUACAAAAGAAGGUUGUAGAUUUGGAGAGCUGAAGACCCUGAAGACAUAAAUCCCAUAGUGCCCCCCUCCUCCCUUUUCUGAUUCUAUGCUCACCAAGUUGAGUGGGGUAGACCCUGAGUUGGGGCAGCAGGCUUGUCAGGGUUCUCGUGUAAAUUAAGAAGUGGAAUGAGGUUUCACGAGCUGGUCUCUUGAGGGCUUCCCUGCUGGACUGGUAAGGUGAUUGAGUACUCUCAGGCCAGGUAAACUCCACACACUGGUCCUUCACGGUUCUGAGCCUGCGCAGUUGAUGUCAGUGAGCUUGCUUUGGGGAGUGCCACAGUGAUCAGUAGAAGAAACCAGCUGGGCUUUCAAGAAACUCUUCUAUGCUUACAUAGACUGAUGCCUAAGAAGCCGUAACACCGUCGCAGUUACUGGCAACCCUCAUUUUCUACACUGAUGACCCGCGCCACUGUUGCAUUUGUGACAGCCAUUCCAUUCUUUUAUAAAACUCACUUUAAUGUCAAAAAGCAGUGACAAGCUUCCUAGAGCAAUGGUUUUUAGGAAAUGUUCACCCUUUGGGGUCCACUGGAACCCUGACUCUGCCGCCAGUCGGCUUUGCUGUAUUGCCUGGAUCUAGGCCGGAGGAGAUGGGAAGCAGACUGCCAGAGAUGAAACUGGCAGAUAGAAGGGAAAGGAAGCAAGCCCUUGACCUUCUCUUUUCUCCUGACCGAUACCAUUCUUGAAAAUAUGUGUGUGUGUUCUAACCCCGGUAGUCUCCCUACCCUCUUCCUAUUCCACUUUAUUAUCUAUUUUUACCAUUCUGCAGAAACUGGUCUAAGGUCACAGUAUGCCAGAUCUGAUGGCCUCGUUUUAACUUCCCUCCACCGUGUUAUCUCCUUCACGUUUCAGGAUAGGUGGAAAGCUAUCCUGUUCUUUGUGGUUUUGACCAGCAUUUGUCGCACAGCACAAUGACUACUUCCUAGGAAAUAUGAAAUACAGUCUUACUGCGAGAGCCAAUAACCUUUUUUCAUUAAUAAAGAAAAGCUUUCUCUUGUU